UGGGGAAUUUUGGACAAUGGGGAAACCCUGAUCCAGCCAUCCCGCGUGUGCGAUGAAGGCCUUCGGGUUGUAAAGCACUUUUGGCAGGAAAGAAACGUCGCGGGUUAAUACCCCGCGAAACUGACGGUACCUGCAGAAUAAGCACCGGCUAACUACGUGCCAGCAGCCGCGGUAAUACGUAGGGUGCAAGCGUUAAUCGGAAUUACUGGGCGUAAAGCGUGCGCAGGCGGUUCGGAAAGAAAGAUGUGAAAUCCCAGAGCUUAACUUUGGAACUGCAUUUUUAACUACCGGGCUAGAGUGUGUCAGAGGGAGGUGGAAUUCCGCGUGUAGCAGUGAAAUGCGUAGAUAUGCGGAGGAACACCGAUGGCGAAGGCAGCCUCCUGGGAUAACACUGACGCUCAUGCACGAAAGCGUGGGGAGCAAACAGGAUUAGAUACCCUGGUAGUCCACGCCCUAAACGAUGUCAACUAGCUGUUGGGGCCUUCGGGCCUUGGUAGCGCAGCUAACGCGUGAAGUUGACCGCCUGGGGAGUACGGUCGCAAGAUUAAAACUUAAAGGAAUUG
rnacentral:rRNA from 1 species